GGACAGGUAGUGUAGUGGGUAACACGCCUGUAGCGCUCGGGAACCCUGUGGUUCGAAUCCCGGUCUGUCCG